rnacentral:rRNA from 1 species
GACGAACGCUUGCGGCGUGCCUAAGAAAUGCAAGUCGAGCGGGGGAGCAAUCCCUAGCGGCGAACGGUCGCGUAACACGUAAGCAACCUGCCCGAAAGACCGGGACAACAGCUCGAAAGGGCUGCUAAUACCGGAUGUGUCCACUUUCUCUCAUGAGUUAGUGAGUAAAUCAUUUAUGGCUUUCGGAGGGGCGUUGCGGCCUAUCAGCUAGAUGGCGGUGUAACGGACCACCANGGCGACGACGGGUAGCUGGUCUGAGAGGAUGGCCAGCCACAUUGGGACUGAGAUACGGCCCAGACUCCUACGGGAGGCAGCAGUGGGGAAUCUUGCGCAAUGGGCCUAACGGCUGACGCAGCGACGCCGCGUGUGGGAUGAAGCUCUUCGGAGUGUAAACCACUGUUGCCCGGGACGAAUAGCUCGAUUAAUCGAGCCUGAC